CGGUUUGGUCAGUCUUCCGGGAAAUCUGACGGCUCAACCGUUAGGCUUUCGGGGGAUACUACCAGGCUUGGGACCGGGAGAGGUAAGAGGUACUACGGGGGUAGGAGUGAAAUCUUGUAAUCCCUGUGGGACCACCAGUGGCGAAGGCGUCUUACCAGAACGGGUCCGACGGUGAGGGACGAAAGCUGGGGGCACGAACCGGAUUAGAUACCCGGGUAGUCCCAGCUGUAAACUAUGCUCGCUAGGUGUCAGGGACGGUGCGACCGUUUCUGGUGCCGCAGGGAAGCCGUGAAGCGAGCCACCUGGGAA
rnacentral:rRNA from 1 species